rnacentral:misc_RNA from 1 species
AUUUUGCAGAGCUAGUGAUUAACGCAGACGGAAGAAAGGGUGGGAAAGGGAGGGAAAGUGAAAGAAAAAGGAAGGAAAAGGGAGUUCUGGUUGAUCAAGUCAAGUCACCUUUCUCUCUGCAGCAGAGUGUUCUGUUUUUAACCUUUUUUCGGCUCUUAGUUCAUUCAGAAACUACAUCUGAACAUUUUCAAGGAUUCCAAUUUUGGUAACUCAA